GUUGCUUCUCUUUAGCAGAACCCUACCAAGGCAAAACAGCUGCCUCUGGCCCACGCUCCAGUUUUCCCCAUUCUCGACAACUGCAGGGGGUAUCCCGUUUGGUUAUAGUCUCAUUGAAGAUAUCCUUACCUACAAGACUAUGCUUCUUUGGGGUUUGCCGAACUAUAUUGCCAAGCUGGCAUUUGUCCAAUACCUGAACGAAAUAAGGAAACCAAUAUUCUGAUCAGAUGUCAACAUUGUCAAUUUUAAUUGUGCCUUCCCGUGGUUCAACGAUCCGGAAAAGGGCUUGGAUAAAAGUUGACUUUCCACUACCACUACUUGGUGGGCGGCAGUAGUCAACUAAUAGAGGAGCCUCACUAGGAAGGCUGACUAGCAGAAUCAAACAAACCGCAAAGACAAGAGUGGAUAGCAUGGCUAGCCUGAGAGAAAGCCACUCCAUGGAAGCGAAGUUAUGGAACCAUGGUCUGGAGUGAUUGUCAAAAAGACCAAGAGCUUUUCAAGAAGAAAAGGAAAUAUUUUUACUAUUCAAUUCUUUCUCAGGUUUAUUUCAUCAGCUGCUGGUUGGGGAUAUAUUUAAAACUUCUCGGCAGUGCUCUGAUCAUGAACUAGGGGUUGUUUGGAUAUAUAGCCUUUAUCCUUUUAUAAAAAACCUGUUUUAUUGUUCAGUCUUUGUUAGCCAUGAAUUUGGGUGUAACGAGUCGGUAGAAAAGAUAAAGAUAACUUUGUGCGGAGUUCCUCUCUAAUUAAUAAACCGUGUUAACUGCUUUUGCUAACAAAGUUGGUACGGGUUUGUGAAAAAACUUGUUUAUAUUUAUUUAUUUAAGAAAGGCAAGUGACAAAAAACAAAAUAAUCAAACGUGACUAUAGAAACCAUAGAAUGUCUUAUAUUUUGGGAAGACUUUAUGAGGAUGCUAGGCCGACUCGAGGAAGCAUCUCUACGGAUACUAAUAAGAGAAGGUUGCUUGCUGGUGCAGGGAUAUAUAAUUUGAGGCUUACUGGACGAGUUGUGGAGCAAGCCACCGUGGUGGAGCCUCUCGUGCGUCCUCGUGGGAACAAGUAAGCCCAGGCUCCCUCUGUCCAUGGCGUUAAGUUGCCAAAGGGAGAGAGACAAAUGGAGGCUCUCUCUGGCAUGGGUGGAGUAUAAAUAGAGACCGGAGGAGGACCAAAUGGUGGCAAGUCAAGUGCAAAUUUUAAAAAUAAAUGCUCCCACUUAUAAAUGGAGACCGGAGGAGGACUUUCUUCCUGCCCAAGUUUCCAUGACCCUGCUGAUCAUCGGUUUAUUUUCUCUGAUACCUGCUCGUGCCGACGACGGCGACAUGCCAGUGGCACUAUCUGGCGGCUAAUGGCCUAUUGCUUUCAAACCCUUUUCUUUUAGAAAAUUAGGUUAGCUAACCUUUGUUAAAAAAAGAGUCAAGACUAGACUAACUUUGUAGGAGUACAUUAUAUUUUUGCCAGCCAAGGCACUGCCCAAACGCAUACUACGGACAUACUAUGCGAAGAUGUGAGGAAUGUUCGUUCCCACGUUAUAAACUGCAGGCGCUGCAACUGCAAGAGCACGGAGACAAGGGAUUUGGUGAGGGCGCAUGCGCUGGCACUUGGCACUACCCGUCAAUUGUUGUUUGUGACCACUGGCCAGUGAUGGUCAUGCAUGGUCGUGCCAGGCUCGUCAAAUUUAAUACUUACUAGUUGCAGCACGCUGCUCCCAGGACCUCCGCGGCUGCUUGGCCCUCCCCGUUUCCCCCCCACCAAAUCAAAUACCAAAUCCAAAUCUCAACCAGAUCUGAGCACAUCCGCCCCUCCAAGAUCCCCUGCCCACAAAUCCAUUGCCGGUGUUGCAUCCCAGGUAAGCCCCUUUGUGCAGGACACACCGGAGGCGCAGCAGGGCUUCUCCCCACCGUUCCGCCGCUCCUUCGUGCAAGUGGUCAGAGGAUCCGCGGUGCAAGAUUCGCCAAGGUCAUUUCAAAUCGUGUAGCAACCUCAAGACCGGUAGGCCGCCAUUACUGAAGCUGCCCGCAGUUACUCCAACAGCCGCGGUUCCCCCUCUUCAACCACUCACCGUCCGGCCACCUCUGGAGCCGCGCCUGAGCUGACCGGCGCGCAUUCACUGCUCAAGAUGGUUGGAUGCCCGUCAGGCAACCUUACUGGUGGUAGAGGGGGGCGCUUUCAACUUGCCGGCCAUCGCGCCUCUCAGCACCCGGCAGCAGCAUCCAGCUUCGCCAAGUCUACGCGCCUUCCAGGCAAGAAGGGUGCUGCUUCAUCUGCCUGGCCCCCGACCACCGCGCUGCGUCUUGUCGGGACCCCGGCCGUUGCUUCGUCUGCCAUCGCUUCAGCCACCGUGCAAGAUCCUGCUCCAACAACCGCCACAGCAACUACAGCCCGCCUCCUGCUCGCCACCAAGCAGCACCAUGCGACAACAGAGCUCCACCUCCCCAUCGACCAAGCACAAGCGGCAACAGAGCUCCACCUGCUCUUGCUUGACACCAAGCAGCGCACCGCGUUCGGGCUUCAUCUCCACUUCCUCCACUGCCGACGCCCACCUCCACGACCAACAUGUCUAGACUCGGAGACACUGCAACCAAGCUAGAGCAGGUGGACUGCCUCGUUCAGUCCACCGACGACAUCGACGCCGAUCUGCGGGACUGGGACUCCACGGCGGCGGUCACCUGGCGGUCCACGGCUGGGAGCCAGUUGAACCACGGGACGUCGAGAGGGCCAUCAGAGAAGACUUCAAGCUGCGCCACAGCGAGGUAACUGUUUCAUGUCACUUCCCUGAAGCGUUCCUUAUCAAGUUCAAGCACAGCAGCCACUGCUCCGAGGCGCUUCAGAGGGGCAAGGCAAUGGGCGCCGACAUCGAGGUCCUCUUCACCAAGUGGAGGAGCCUCCGGGAUGCAGAAGGAGCAACUCUCCUCUUCAGAGUUAGGCUCUGUCUCGAUGGCGUGCCUAUGCAUGCCUGGAGGGCAGAUAUCGCGGAGAGCAUCAUCGGCAACACCUGCGCACUGGAGGCCACGACACCAACCUCGACCACCCAAAGGAGACGAAGACCAUAAACCUGUGGGCCUGGACGGCGAACCCAAGCUCUAUCCCCAAGUGCGUGUGGCUCAAGUUCACCGGCCGCGCGUGGGAUGCCAGGUUGGAGUCAGUGAUGGUGUCCAAGGCGCCGCCCGACCAGUGGCAGCGCGGCAUCAAGCAUUGCGUCAUCCUGCACCUAGAGGAGAUCCAAGACUACACCCUCUCCUCGGUCAACCUCGAUGACAGGACGUCAUGCACGCCUGCAGUCCGCCGGCUUCCUCCCUGGCAUCUCGACUGCAUCGACGGGGAGAUGGCACCACGCAGGGCGAUGGAACAUGAAGCAAGGACACGCUCGCCACCACGCCCGGACCAACCUCGACUUGGCCAAAGCAGCGUGGCGGGGGAGGAGGAACGGCGCUAGGACAGAGAGGACCGUGGCCGUCAUCGAAGAAGCCACAACAAUGACCACCACAACACCAGGUGGAACGUGUGGCACUAGAGGAAGGACGACAACGAUGACCAGGAACACCAUGGGCGCGGUGACCGCGCUCACCGCGGCCACGACACGCGCAAACACCUGGGCAACGACUCCUACCGUGAGCGUGAAUGCUCGCCUAGGAGCAGGACGUGGGGUGGCAGCAGCAGGAAUAGGGGGCGUCAGCACCACGACAUCUCCAACUGCGACAACGCCAUGCCACCGCCGCCGUUAUCCUUUGCCCCCCCUGCGCGACAGGAAGUCCAUCGAGUUACAAAUUUCUGUUCUCCAACCGCGCCUCCACAAUGGCGGAGGCCACCAAGAAUUUUCUGUGCAUGUUUUAGGAAGGGGAGGACAGGGAAGAGCUACACCUGAACACCAUCUCCCUCGACCAUGGCAGCAAAGCGGCCACCCUGGUGGACAAGGUUGGCCUACCACAUGAAGGAAUUGAAGCCUGGUCCGAAGCGCGCGGACAUACGGAAGCCAAUAAUGACCUGUCCAUGGUCAAGGUGCCUCAUGUGUUCGCACGCAUCCUGGAGGACGUCCAGAAGGAGGGGGGAGUCAACGUCAAUGCCAUCUCUGUUCAAGAGGUGGAUGCGGCUCUACAGAAGCUACAGGUUCAGCUGGAAGGCCAUGGCCAGCAACCAGACUCACCGUGUUUUAACAAUGUUUCUGUUUCACCGUUUCAACUUGCAUCCCCUGUUCGCCUUCAUGAUGCACAGAUGUAGCCAACCAACAACACCGAUGGCGAGGCAGGUCUGUUUCACGCCGGCAGUGAGCAUGACAAUGACUUCAACCUUCAGCCGACUGCAGGGUAGAGAACUCCGGAGCACAACAGUCCUAGCAGCAACAACCUCGCCAGCACCUUCUCCACCACAACGGCGCUGCAACGCAGCAGCCCACGCAGCACCAACAUCAUCAACACAUUCUUCACCACGCCGGCACAAGUGCUCCAUGAACCUCCAGUGGAGGAACACAGGGACGAGCAGAACCAACAGCUCAAGGAGGGGACGAACAAAACCCGCCGACCGCGACGCAUCUUCGACAUGUCCACGGUACGCUGCAGCGCAAGCCCAUCGAGGUUGCACUGCAGGAAAAUCUGUCCAUGUUCCAGGGGCCGGUGCCGCAGGACAUCAUUGCAGCGCUGACAGCCAUCUUCAACCUCAACGGCCCAGUGGUCGAGCAGCUUGAUGAAGCCAUGGCGGCGGUGGCCGGUGAAGCCAUUGAAGAUUUCCAGGAAGAAGCCUCACGCUAGCCAGAAGCUGUCCAGGCAAUGCCUGCCCAGGCAGCAACCAUCCAACAGGCCAACUGAUCUGCGUCUCCAGCAGCACCGAGAGUUCACAAGCCACCAAUGUUAAGUGCAGUGUAUCAGUUACUUUCCAGGGCAAAAACCAUCCACAAUCUCCAGAUGUUCAAUGUGUCUUUCCAAUUUGUUUGUAAGCCUAAAGCCGGACAGAUGACAUGGGCUAGCAGCUAUGUUUGCAUCAUUGUGUGUUCACCUUCAGCAUAUGCAUCUUCUCAAUUUGGUUGUAAUCCUAGAACCAGACACCUGAGUUGGGCCAUCAAUUAUGCUUACAUCGACCUUUGUUUACAUUCAGCCUGUGCUUCUGUAAUGCCUCUGUCGAUUUUGCUCCUGCGUUUCAAUCAUAGUCGAGUUGAUGAUGUGCUACUAUUA